rnacentral:misc_RNA from 1 species
GGGAUAUCGAAGUACACAUGAUGGGACCAUUUAGGGUUAUUCUUUGCAUGUCUAGCUAGCUAGUUCCAUGUUGCUUUUUGAAAACUUUCGCAAAACUUCAUGUAAUGGACACCUUAUGUGGGGGACUUCAUAUUAUGAACUUUUGCCUUUUCCAUGAGUGAUGAGAGCUUCAAGGGACCUUAAAUUAUUUCUAGUGCUCUCUCCUGUAAAAGUGACCUGGGAAAAAAUUAUUUCAGUUUUAAUUCCAUCUUGUCAUUCUGUACAACAAUUAAGGGAGCUAGA